CGCGGCCUAUCAGCUUGUUGGUGAGGUAACGGCUCACCAAGGCAUCGACGGGUAGCUGGUCUGAGAGGACGAUCAGCCACACUGGGACUGAGACACGGCCCAGACUCCUACGGGAGGCAGCAGUAGGGAAUCUUGCGCAAUGGGCGAAAGCCUGACGCAGCAACGCCGCGUGGGGGAUGAAUGCCUUCGGGUUGUAAACCCCUUUCAGCAGGGACGAAAAUGACGGUACCUGCAGAAAAAGCACCGGCUAACUACGUGCCAGCAGCCGCGGUAAUACGUAGGGUGCAAGCGUUGUCCGGAAUUAUUGGGCGUAAAGAGCUCGUAGGCGGUUUGUCGCGUCUGCUGUGAAAAUCCGAGGCUCAACCUCGGACCUGCAGUGGGUACGGGCAAACUAGAGUGCGGUAGGGGAGAUUGGAAUUCCUGGUGUAGCGGUGGAAUGCGCAGAUAUCAGGAGGAACACCAAUGGCGAAGGCCGAUCUCUGGGCCGUAACUGACGCUGAGGAGCGAAAGCGUGGGGAGCGAACAGGAUUAGAUACCCUGGUAGUCCACGCCGUAAACGGUGGGAACUAGAUGUGGGGUCCGUUCCACGGAUUCCGUGUCGCAGCUAACGCAUUAAGUUCCCCGCCUGGGGAGUACGG
rnacentral:rRNA from 1 species